rnacentral:rRNA from 1 species
CACCAAGGCGACGAUCAGUAGGGGUUCUGAGAGGAAGGUCCCCCACAUUGGAACUGAGACACGGUCCAAACUCCUACGGGAGGCAGCAGUGAGGAAUAUUGGUCAAUGGGCGAGAGCCUGAACCAGCCAAGUAGCGUGCAGGAUGACGGCCCUAUGGGUUGUAAACUGCUUUUAUAAGGGAAUAAAGUGAGUCUCGUGAGACUUUUUGCAUGUACCUUAUGAAUAAGGACCGGCUAAUUCCGUGCCAGCAGCCGCGGUAAUACGGAAGGUCCGGGCGUUAUCCGGAUUUAUUGGGUUUAAAGGGAGCGUAGGCCGGAGAUUAAGCGUGUUGUGAAAUGUAGAUGCUCAACAUCUGCACUGCAGCGCGAACUGGUUUCCUUGAGUACGCACAAAGUGGGCGGAAUUCGUGGUGUAGCGGUGAAAUGCUUAGAUAUCACGAAGAACUCCGAUUGCGAAGGCAGCUCACUGGAGCGCAACUGACGCUGAAGCUCGAAAGUGCGGGUAUCGAACAGGAUUAGAUACCCUGGUAGUCCGCACGGUAAACGAUGGAUGCCCGCUGUUGGUCUGAAUAGGUCAGCGGCCAAGCGAAAGCAUUAAGCAUCCCACCUGGGGAGUACGCCGGCAACGGUGAAACUCAAAGGAAUUGACGGGGGCCCGCACAAGCGGAGGAACAUGUGGUUUAAUUCGAUGAUACGCGAGGAACCUUACCCGGGCUUGAAUUGCAGAGGAAGGAUUUGGAGACAAUGACGCCCUUCGGGGCCUCUGUGAAGGUGCUGCAUGGUUGUCGUCAGCUCGUGCCGUGAGGUGUCGGCUUAAGUGCCAUAACGAGCGCAACCCCUCUCCUUAGUUGCCAUCAGGUCAAGCUGGGCACUCUGGGGACACUGCCACCGUAAGGUGUGAGGAAGGUGGGGAUGACGUCAAAUCAGCACGGCCCUUACGUCCGGGGCUACACACGUGUUACAAUGGCAGGUACAGAGAGAUGGUGUUCUGCAAAGCGCAUCUAAUCCUUAAAGCCUGUCUCAGUUCGGACUGGGGUCUGCAACCCGACCCCACGAAGCUGGAUUCGCUAGUAAUCGCGCAUCAGCCAUGGCGCGGUGAAUACGUUCCCGGGCCUUGUACACACCGCCCGUCAAGCCAUG